rnacentral:rRNA from 1 species
CCUACGGGGGGCAGCAGUGGGGGAUAUUGCACAAUGGGGGCAACCCUGAUGCAGCGACGCCGCGUGGGCGAUGGAGUGCUUCGGCAUGUAAAGCCCUAUCAGCAGGGAAGAAAAUGACGGUACCUGACUAUGAAGCCCCGGCUAAAUACGUUCCAGCAGCCGCGGUACUACGUACGGGGCCAGCGUUAUCCGGAUUUACUGGGUGUAAAGGGAGCGUAGGCGGCAUGGAAAGCCUGAUGUGAAAUACCGGGGCACAACCCCGGGGCUGCAUUGGGAACUGGCAGGCUGGAGUGCCGGGGAGGCAGGCGGAAUUCGUGGUGUAGCGGUGAAAUGCGUAGAUAUUAGGAGGAACGCCAGUGGCGAAGGCGGCCUGCUGGACGGUGACUGACGCUGAGGCUCGAAAGCGUGGGGAGCGAACAGGAUUAGAUACCCUUGUAGUC